GGAGGACCCAUGGGAUCGUAAGACCUUGCGUUAUUCGAGCGGCCGACCUCUGAUUAGCUAGUAGGUGAGGUAAGAGCUCACCUAGGCGACGAUCAGUAGCGGGUCUGAGAGGAUGAUCCGCCACACUGGGACUGAGACACGGCCCAGACUCCUACGGGAGGCAGCAGUGGGGAAUUUUGGACAAUGGGCGCAAGCCUGAUCCAGCCAUGCCGCGUGUCUGAAGAAGGCCUUCGGGUUGUAAAGGACUUUUGUCAGGGAGGAAAUCCCUAGCGCUAAUAUCGCUGGGGGAUGACAGUACCUGAAGAAUAAGCACCGGCUAACUACGUGCCAGCAGCCGCGGUAAUACGUAGGGUGCAAGCGUUAAUCGGAAUUACUGGGCGUAAAGCGUGCGCAGGCGGUUAGAUAAGCCAGAUGUGAAAUCCCCGAGCUCAACUUGGGAACUGCGUUUGAAACUACAAAGCUAGAAGGG
rnacentral:rRNA from 1 species